UAAAAAGGGGGAAAUGGGAUUGUGAUCUUGACAUGUAUAUAUUUUACAAAGCUAACAUGAUUAUUUUUUGUUUCUUGCUUUAACAUAACAAAGUCUUAAACACAUAACAUAUUCCUUGAUGUUGUUAGAUGUAAAUGUAAUUUUCAUGUUGAAACAACAUGUUCGGAUCAUGUUUAGGAGUACACUCCGCCCCCUUCGAGGAGUGACGUUUAAAACACUUGCUGCUCACUCAUUUCAUCCGCCAUUUUCUGUGUCGUUGGGAAAAGGGCUCUUUGCUGAACAUGACUAGCUUGACGAGUUAAGUCCGUGGUGCAGGCACAAGUGGAGUAAUUCUUGAUUAAAGAAACAGAAAAAAGGAUUUCUUGAUCUGCAGAGUCUUGUGUAUAGAACUUUGAACCACACCACGUGAAGGCUCUGUAGCAGUGGCCGCAGAUGAGGACUACCUCCAGACGUCCAUUGAGGAGACUACCCUGGGAAUCUAUGUGGUGAGAAGUGUACUGACCAAUACAGCGGAAGACAUUGGGAUUGUGCUUGAAGGCCAAAUAGUAUUCCAAGACCUGGAUAACAUAGCAUUAGCUACAGCUGUGCUAUUUGGACUCAUCUAUGCGCUGAACCUGAACUACCCUCCCAGUUUGAAGUACACAUUUGAAGUACUGCAGAAACUAGUGAUGGAGCUCAAAGGAAACACUCUUUCAAAGAAAGUCCAACUUCUCAAAAAUAGACUCUGCGAGUGAGAUGUUUUUACUGAUGUAACCUAAAGAAUUUUCCAGCCUUUAGGGGUCAAUUUCCUGCUCUGUUUUCUACAGACAUAUUCUCUCAUUCACAAUAAUUUUUCUUCUACAAUUUAGUCGGAGUCAAUGAGAUUCAGAAACAACGUGGCCUAAACCAUGCGAUCAGACUUUAAUUUAUUGAUCCAUUAUUCAGCAAUGAGUUUAUGAACAUUACUUCCAUGGAUGAAGUCAGGACAGAGGGACAAUUCGAAUUAUAUCCACGACAGGGAAUUCCUUUACAGGCUGAAUUCCCCGGCACUUCAGCAAAUGACUUAAAUACUUGUGUUGCUGAAACAUCCCUUCUUUUAAGUGGUUGUGUUGACAUGGGUAUUCUUGCCUCAAACGAAUUGGAUGCAUCCAGUUCAUCAGUUUCCAGGACAUUCUGGCCCUCUGUGUUUAACAUUACACGGUUUUCCUUCGACACAGAGAUAAAGCUGCAGCGUGGAAAUGCCAGACACAAAGAAGGCUAGGCUAACAUGUAAGUUUUUUGUUUGUUAAUGCAGGCAACUCUUUCCACAGUAAUACAUUACAAAUAUAUUAAUACAUUAGUAACACAGUACUUUUUUGUAAAUUUCUUGGGUUUCCUGGAAAAAAAAUUUAGCUUGUGAGAUGAUGUUACCUUUUGUGAUCUUUUAACUUGCUUCCUGUUGACAGGUUUUUUUUUGUAAGUAAUUUCUCAAUUCAGAAGGUUUGCCAGUAAUGAAACUUUGGUGUGACUUGUGAAAAUGAGCCCCUUUUGUGACUAAUCAGUUAGUUCAUGUUUUUUAUGAAGGAAGUAUUUGCACAAAGGGUAAGACCAAAUAGUCCUCUGUGAUUUGGAUAGUUGUCCAAUUUAGCCAAAUAAAGGCCAAUUUUGUUUGGAUAGCGUUAAUUAAAAAAAUGAGAUUUUUUUUUCCUAAGGUAUUCUUGAAUAUAAAGUGUUCUUGAUAAUCAGAAGUAAUAGAUUAAGAUUUCAGUUUGCUGUGUGUAAUUUAAACUGUUCAUGAGUGGGUAUGUUUAUUCGAGUUCCGGAGUAAAGUUUCCAGUAUCCACUUUUAAUAUCAAUAACUACCAGGUUGUGGGAGUACUCUGCUUUUGGCUACAGAGACAAAUGUUUAAAUUUGGUUGUUUUUUUACAUCAUUCUGUAAACUCAGUUUGUGAUUGUAAAGCAAAUUUUUAAACUCACAAUACUGUUGAAUGCAGUGGAGUUAUGUUUCUUUAAUUGUACCACAAGUAUGGAAUCGUAUUUGUAAAUUCAAAUAAAACAAUUGUGCAGAUGAUUAA